rnacentral:rRNA from 1 species
UGAACGCUGGCGGCGUGCCUCCUACAUGCAAGUCGAGCGACCAGAUGAGGAGCUUGCUCCUCUGACGUUAGCGGCGGACGGGUGAGUAACACGUGGAUAACCUACCUAUAAGACUGGGAUAACUUCGGGAAACCGGAGCUAAUACCGGAUAAUAUAUUGAACCGCAUGGUUCCAUAGUGAAAGACGGUUUUGCUGUCACUUAUAGAUGGAUCCGCGCCGCAUUAGCUAGUUGGUAAGGUAACGGCUUACCAAGGCAACGAUGCGUAGCCGACCUGAGAGGGUGAUCGGCCACACUGGAACUGAGACACGGUCCAGACUCCUACGGGAGGCAGCAGUAGGGAAUCUUCCGCAAUGGGCGAAAGCUUGACGGAGCAACGCCGCGUGAGUGAUGAAGGUCUUCGGAUCGUAAAACUCUGUUAUUAGGGAAGAACAAAUGUGUAAGUAACUAUGCACGUCUUGACGGUACCUAAUCAGAAAGCCACGGCUAACUACGUG